rnacentral:rRNA from 1 species
AAGCAACGCGAAGAACCUUACCAGGCCUGACAUGCAGAGAACUUUCCAGAGAUGGAUUGGUGCCUUCGGGAACUCUGACACAGGUGCUGCAUGGCUGUCGUCAGCUCGUGUCGUGAGAUGUUGGGUUAAGUCCCGCAACGAGCGCAACCCUUGCCUUUAGUUGCCAGCAGUUCGGCUGGGCACUCUAAAGGGACUGCCGGUGUUAAACCGGAGGGAGGUGGGGAUGACGUCAAGUCCUCAUGGCCUUUAUGACCAGGGCUACACACGUACUACAAUGGCCGAUACAAAGGGCAGCGACACUGCGAGGUGAAGCCAAUCCCGUAAAAUCGGUCUCAGUCCGGAUUGGAGUCUGCAACUCGACUCCAUGAAGUUGGAAUCGCUAGUAAUCGUGGAUCAGCAUGCCACGGUGAAUACGUUCCCGGGCCUU